rnacentral:rRNA from 1 species
UACAGAGGGUGCGAGCGUUAAUCGGAAUUACUGGGCGUAAAGCGUGCGCAGGCGGUGAUGUAAGACAGAUGUGAAAUCCCCGGGCUCAACCUGGGAACUGCAUUUGUGACUGCAUCGCUGGAGUACGGCAGAGGGGGAUGGAAUUCCGCGUGUAGCAGUGAAAUGCGUAGAUAUGCGGAGGAACACCGAUGGCGAAGGCAAUCCCCUGGGCCUGUACUGACGCUCAUACACGAAAGCGUGGGGAGCAAACAGG